rnacentral:tRNA from 1 species
GCGAGAGUGGCGGAAUAGGCAGACGCGCCAGCUUGAGGUGCUGGUGCCCGUAAUGGGUGUGUGGGUUCAAGUCCCGUCUCUCGCA